ensembl:misc_RNA Metazoa_SRP Metazoan signal recognition particle RNA
GCCAGGCGUGGUGGCGGGCGCCUGUAAUCCCAGCUACUCAGGAGGCUGAGGUGGGAGAAUCACUUGAACCCAGGAAGUGGAGGUUGCAGUGAGCUGAGAUCCCGCCACUGCACUCCAGCCUGGGUGACAGAGUGAGACUCUGUCUCAA